AAGAUGAAAAUUCAGUAAAUUUUAAUCCAAGUAUAAUGCAGUUAAUUAUCAUUAACAUGAAUUUAGCUUAACUGUGCUUUUGAAUGAAUCAGAUAUAGUAGUAGCUUGCAUAUACAUUGAUCUUAUAAAACUUACAUAUACAUUUAUCAUUGAAUUUCAUUCUUGAAAAUUUUCAAUUCCAUAUUUUCUUACUGCAAUCAAAUGCCAGUUUUACUAAUCUUGGCCGUUGUAUAAGUAUCUAUAUUUGUUUGAGCAUAGAUUGAAUUUACUGAGCAUAGACUCUCUCGGCUCGACUCUCAAUCCCUAGGGUUUGCAAUCCACGAUUUCCAACCUCCCAUGGGUGCUGAUGGUGAUUCCGGCAACUCGUUCGUCGCUGACAGAUCGAAGUUCUCUUGAAUUUAUAUUGUAUCAACUUAACUAGGGAACAUCUAUUCCAUUUGAAUUUCAUAUUGUAGUAACUUCCUAGAGAACUUAUAUUCUACAAUUUUUGUUUAUUGAAUUACUUAAUGAAUUUCUUAGAUCUCACUGGUUAUGGAGUGCAAGGAAAUGACCCAUCAUGCCUACGAGUAUUCCUUUUGCUAAUUUUAAGUACAGUCUCUCAAUCUGGAUAUGCUGGUUUGCAAGAAUAAGUUGUUUGGAUGCAUCAAUAGGGCAUAGACUCAUCUAUGGAUUUAAUUAGGUUGGAUUUGGAUCAACUACGUAGCAUAUUCAUCUGAAGCACGUCUAGGCUUGCAAAUCAAAUUAUGUUCAAGUAUGUUCCCUUGCUGCUCAAUUAGCAGCUUUCAACUAGCAUGUUGCACUAUGGAUUUAAUCAUUUUUCUAUAUGACUAUUGUAGAUGUAUAUUAAUAAUGGAUGUGGUUGUUAUUCCUACUUCUGUUGUUGUGGUUGUUAUCAAAUAUCUAUGUUAAGUGCUUAGGUAUGUAUAUUCAAGUACAUUCUUCUUUUUUCAUGUUAUAUUUUUUAUUGAUAAUUCAAAAUGAAAAUUUUGAAGCUGGCAGUAA